UUGUCCGGAUUUACUGGGUGUAAAGGGUGCGUAGGCGGCUUUGCAAGUCAGAUGUGAAAUCUAUGGGCUCAACCCAUAAACUGCAUUUGAAACUGUAGAGCUUGAGUGAAGUAGAGGCAGGCGGAAUUCCCCGUGUAGCGGUGAAAUGCGUAGAGAUGGGGAGGAACACCAGUGGCGAAGGCGGCCUGCUGGGCUUUAACUGACGCUGAGGCACGAAAGCGUGGGUAGCAAACAGGAUUAGAUACCCUGGUAGUCCACGCUGUAAACGAUGAUUACUAGGUGUGGGGGGUCUGACCCCUUCCGUGCCGGAGUU
rnacentral:rRNA from 1 species